UACGGGGGGGGCGAGCGUUGUUCGGAAUUACUGGGCGUAACGGGCUCGUAGGCGGCCAACUAAGUCAGACGUGAAAUCCCUCGGCUUAACCGGGGAACUGCGUCUGAUACUGGAUGGCUUGAGUUCGGGAGAGGGAUGCGGAAUUCCAGGUGUAGCGGUGAAAUGCGUAGAUAUCUGGAGGAACACCGGUGGCGAAGGCGGCAUCCUGGACCGACACUGACGCUGAGGAGCGAAAGCCAGGGGAGCAAACGGG
rnacentral:rRNA from 1 species